AUCACUUCCAGCUAUUCAAAUCUGUGAUUCCAGGGUGUAGUUAAAAAAAAAACCCCUAAGGUUUCCAAACUCUGAGAGAAAGAAUGAUGAUUAUGAAAACAAUAGUGUUUUUGUAUUGCACCCACCCACCCAUCCACAUUCUAAAGUUAAGAUCUGUUUGCAACAUUUUGUAACUUAAAUACUGUAUGUUUCUGUUCAAGGUCAUGAUAGUAUUCCACAGUAGAGGUUGAUGAGACUUAUGCUAUCAUUUCAAUUGUUACAGUUUUGUGAGAUUUUACAUUUCCACAUACUUGAGCUUUGCUUGCAUUAAUGCCAAGCACAUUUAACCUGUGUCUCUUGGAAGUAUCGAAAAGUAUUUAUUUAGGUUCAUAAUCCACCUUUUCUCCAAUCUUUGAAGGUAGUAUCAAUAUUAAAAAUAAUAAUUGCAGAAGUUAUAUCUGUGUAAAUUUAAAACUACCACUAAAAAUCGCCUACUCAAUACUAACAGUGAAUAGCUGUCUGGACAGAAGAUCAGGCAGUGCUUUGAAAAUAUCCACGAACUUUGGAAUGUCUGCAGAAAAUUCCCCAAAUGAAGAAAUACCAUAGCUAUAAAUGCCCACCUCUGCUUCCUCUCAUUUACACAUUACUAAAAAAGAGGCCAAAAGAGGAUACCAAUUUGCUUAAAAUUUCAUAUCCUCAUUUAUAUCUAUAGAAGUAAAAUUAGAAAUAAUUCCUAUAAAUGUAUUUGCAUUUUAUAAUGCAUAUUUAAAAUACAUCUGACCUGUGUGGGGAAGAACAAGUGACCAGUGUGCCUGAUGUAUCUGAUAGAUAACAAACACCCUGAUUCUUCUCCUUACUGUUCUUCGUCUUUAGGUGAAAUUUUGGUGGUGAGCUACUAAAAUUACAGAUACAAAAAACACACAGCCACCAAAGAAAAAGAUCAUAUGAAGUAAAAGUGAAGUGUAUCAUCUUGAAUGACUGUAGGAACUGUUGUAAGCUUUCUGAAGUGGUUUCAUUCUCAGCUAUGAGCACAAAGCAAACCAUAGAGCUCCAUCUACUGGCCAGAACAUGUACUAGAGUCACAAAGCAGUUUAUAGCGUACAUUGAGUCAUAUAUUGAGUCAUAUAUAGUACAUUGAGU
rnacentral:lncRNA from 1 species